rnacentral:rRNA from 1 species
AUUGAACGCUGGCGGCAGGCCUAACACAUGCAAGUCGAACGAGUGGCGGACGGGUGAGUAAUGUCUGGGCACCUGCCUGAUGGAGGGGGAUAACUACUGGAAACGUUAGCUAAUACCGCAUAACAUCAGAUAUGCCCAGAUGGGAUUAGCUAGUUGGUGGGGUAACGGCUCACCAAGGCGACGCUCCCUAGCUGGUCUGAGAGGAUGACCGGCCACACUGGCACUGAGACACGGCCCAGACUCCUACGGGAGGCAGCAGUGGGGAAUAUUGCACAAUGGGCGCAAGCCUGAUGCAGCCAUGCCGCGUGUAUGAAGAAGGCCUUCGGGUUGUAAAGUACUUUCGGCGGGGAGGCGUUAUCCACAGAAGAAGCCCCGGCUAACUCCGUGCCAGCAGCCGCGGUAAUAC